GGGGUCUAUGGAGGGCUAUGGGGGGAUAUGGGGGGAUAUGGGGGAAUAUGGGGGGAUAUGGGGGGCAUUGAGGUCAUAUGGGGGAGAUGGGGGCAGUUGGGGGGGCUAUGGGGGGAUAUUGAGGUCUAUGGGGGGAAAUGGGGGGCAUAUGGGGGGGCUAUUUGGGGUAUUGGGGUCUUACUGGGGGGUCUAUGGGGGGAUGUGGGGUCAUAUGGGGCAGCUAUGGGGCAGCCAUGGUGCAGCUAUGGGGCAUCUAUAGGACAUCUACGGGGCAGCCAUGGGAUCUCUAUGGGACAUCUGUGGGGUAUCUAUAGGACAUCUAUGGGACAUCAAUGGGGUAUCCAUAGGACAUCCAUGGGGCAGCCAUGGGGCAGUUACGGGGCAGCUAUGGGGCAGUUACGGGGCAGUUAUGGGGCAGCUGUGGGGCGGCUGUGGGUCGCACCUGGCAGCCCCAGCUCCAGGAAGGGGCAGCUGACCAACACCAACUUGCUGAAGUUGAACUUGUAGGUGAAGCGCUUCCCCUUCGUCUUGUGCAGGAUGCGCUUGUUGUAG
ensembl:lncRNA